CAGUCGCCGCGGGAAUACGAAGGGUGCAAGCGUUAAUCGGAAUUACUGGGCGUAAAGCGUGCGUAGGCGGUGAGUUAAGUCUGCUGUGAAAUCCCCGGGCUCAACCUGGGAAUGGCAGUGGAUACUGGCUCGCUAGAGUGUGUCAGAGGAUGGUGGAAUUCCCGGUGUAGCGGUGAAAUGCGUAGAGAUCGGGAGGAACAUCAGUGGCGAAGGCGGCCAUCUGGGACAACACUGACGCUGAGGCACGAAGGCGUGGGGAGCAAACAGGAUUAGAUACCCCCGUAGUCCCUGUCUCUUAUAC
rnacentral:rRNA from 1 species